rnacentral:lncRNA from 1 species
AUGCCAAGCCGGUUAGGAAGUGCUGCAGGUGCUGCACUCCAUGUCCAAGUGAACCACCUCAUCUACCCUGUGUCUACCAAUGUGAUGCAUCAAGUCUUCAACCCCUACGGAGCAGUGGCGGUGCAGAUGCUUGUGGUCGAUGCAUGGCGUGUGGAGGCAAUUGUUUGGUUUCGGUCGACCUGCGACGCAGAGUGGGCUCAGGCUGAACUCCACGGCCGCAAUAUCUACGACGGGGGCUGCGUGUUGGAUGUGCAACAUGUGCCGACCUUGCUCGAAGACAGAGCCGACAUUGCACCCACCAAGUGUUCGAUGCAAGUACCAGGAUGUGCUACCACAAAGUCUGAUACCCAGAGCACUCCUACUACUCUGGAACACGUGUUCCCGGCCACCAUGAGCCCAUCUGCGGCCUCAACCAAAUCAGCAGUCACAACAACGUCGGCUUCGCUCACCGAGGCCAUGGAGGCUGAGGCUAGCAUGGACAAGGUGCUGGAGAAUGCAGGCAAGGCCAUUCAAGACCUGUGCACUAGGAUCGAUCGGAUUUUGGAGGCAUUUCGUGACACCAAGGUGGAUUUAUCCGAGAACAAGGAUUCCACUAGAGAUGUGGCAGUGUUGAGCGCCAACACUAGUCCAACUACCAUUGCAUUGGAGGUCAGUGCUGAGGCUGGCCCAACUAACCAUGUUGACUCAGCCAAGCUUGGCAUGGGAACAACCAUCGAGUGUUCAAUGAAGGGGAAGAAUCAGUUGGUUGAUGAUGAUGGCAAAGACAUGGCCAACGAUGAGAGAACUGAGCUCAUUGAAGUGGAUACCAAGUUUACUUCUGUGAAUUUAUGCUUCAGAGAUCCAUGGUUAGCCCUCAAUGCAAUUCCUUCCAGGAUCUUGAUUGGGUGUCUAAACCAUGACCUUGGUGUUAACAGUCUCUCGUUGGUUCCAUCUACGUUGGAAGUGCCAUACCAUUGCUUUGUAUUGGGCUCACCUCUCCAACCAUGGCCACCCCCUCUACAAGCCAAGAGCAAAGGUUCUAUUGUUGAGCGGCAGCUAGAACUGUGGCAUGAUCCUCAAAUAAAACAAGAUAACAAAGGUGUUGUGGUGAAUCUCCUACAACCCAGACUUUCACCUGACAAAUGGAAUGAGUCUUGGUUCAGUUGUGAUAAUGCUUGGGAGUUAGCACAAAGUCAUUGCAAGUUCUUGCUGACAGAACACAUGGCCUUGAUUGCACAAUAUGAAAAGAAUCGCUUUGAGCAAGAUCUAAGUCUGUGUAUGAAAUCACCAUGGCCACCACCUCCUCAUAAGAUCAGAACUGAUUUAUUGUGGUUGAAUUCGCAUGAAGUAUCAUCUCUCCAAUUCAAUGCUGAAUUCUGGAGGUUGCUGGCAAGAAUCAAUUUGUUUGAUUGCCAUUCUGGGCAAGAGGAUAUGCAGCUGUUCCAGGCAGGUGCAAAGCAGUACUCUCCUUUGGUGGUUAGAAUGGCCCUUGCCGAUCAUUUGCAAGCACCCUGGGACCCUGGAGGCAGUAACCUGGUUACUCUCUUGCAUGUUAGGAAGGACAGGCAGCAACCACCACCACGACCACUGCAAAUUGUCUUUCCUAUUGGAUUAUCUGGUGUGAAGGUCUGGCUAUUGUUUGCUCUCACUUUGGUGCAGUUCCUUGGAUCGGUUACCACGUAUAAUGCAAAGUUUUGGAGAUUUUCGCCUGAUAGUGUUUCAAUCCAAGGGAGUAAAGAAUCCAAUUUCAGGGUUGCAUACCUUAUGUGCAGAAGUUCAGAUAGGCAAUUUGCAAGCAGCAAUAUAGCUCUGAACAUUCAAACAAGCU